AGGGUGUUGGGGGGUUCCGGGGAUGUUGAGGCCUUGCUGGGGGGCUCAGGAGGGCUUGGGGGGCUCAGGGGUUUUGGGGGCUGUGACCCCCCCACCCUUUCCCAGCAGAGGAACUGAAGCCGGAAGGGGGUCGGGAGAGCAGCUCCAAGGGCCGGAGCUGCAGCCGUGGCCCCGCAGGAAUGGGGGACCCUGAGAGGAGGGACCCCCGGAAGGAGCACGAGCCAAAGAAACUGGAGGAGAACCCCCCCUCUGUAAGGAUCCAGGGGGACCCAGAGAGGGGGGAGGGACCCCCCUCAAAUCCCGGGUUUGGGGGGGGUUUGGGGAAUGUCACCAUAACUGAUGCCCUGUGCCUCCAGUUAACAGCAGGCGCUGUGACCCCUCUUUGGGGUGACUGAACCCCCAGGGGACUUCGACCUCUCAAAUCUCAUUUUUUGGGGUAUUUUGGGAAUUUUCUGCUUUACUGUCCCACUCCCUCUGCCCACCCCCACAGUUCAGCCUUGGGCAGUCUGAACCCCCCUUUUUGGGGUGCAUGACCCCCUGGGGGUCUUCACUCCAUUCAAAUCUUGGUUUUUGGGGGGCUUGGGGAAUUUUUUUUUCAACAAUGAACCCCCCUGGCCCUCCCAGCUCAACCACCCCAGCAGUUUUGGAUUUCGCUGGCCCCUUUUGGGAGGCUGUGACCCCCUGGUUUUGGGAUGUGUGAGCCCCUGGGGAUCUUUAUUCCCCUCAAAUCCCAUUUUUGGGAUUUUUUCCUGGUUUUUCCUGCAGUUCAGCCACGCCAGCAAAUAUGCCGCGCUCUCCAUGGAUGGGGAGGAUGAAGGUGAUGAUGAAGAAGGAGCUGAGUAAAAGCUUCCUCCCCCUCCUCCUCCUCCUCAGCUGCCACGGGAACCUCCGGAGAUUCCCAAAAAUCCCAACCUUGAUCCAGGCGAGACGGAAAUAAAGCCUAAAACUCAUCAAUUCCCUCAGCUACAGCUUCUUAAAUACCGAAAAAAAAAAACCCACCAUGAGCAAACGGGAAUCACCCCAAAAUCAGCACAGGGGGCGGGAGGAAUAAUUCCAAGAGUUUUCUCGAAAGAAAAGCCCCCCUCUCUG
rnacentral:lncRNA from 14 species